GAUGAACGCUGGCGGCGUGCCUAAUACAUGCAAGUCGAGCGAACGGACGAGAAGCUUGCUUCUCUGAUGUUAGCGGCGGACGGGUGAGUAACACGUGGAUAACCUACCUAUAAGACUGGGAUAACUUCGGGAAACCGGAGCUAAUACCGGGUAAUAUUUUGAACCGCAUGGUUCAAAAGUGAAAGACGGUCUUGCUGUCACUUAUAGAUGGAUCCGCGCUGCAUUAGCUAGUUGGUAAGGUAACGGCUUACCGAGGCAACGAUGCAUAGCCGACCUGAGAGGGUGAUCGGCCACACUGGAACUGAGACACGGUCCAGACUCCUACGGGAGGCAGCAGUAGGGAAUCUUCCGCAAUGGGCGAAAGCCUGACGGAGCAACGCCGCGUGAGUGAUGAAGGUCUUCGGAUCGUAAAACUCUGUUAUUAGGGAAGAACAUAUGUGUAAGUAACUGUGCACAUCUUGACGGUACCUAAUCAGAAAGCCACGGCUAACUACGUG
rnacentral:rRNA from 1 species